rnacentral:lncRNA from 1 species
CCUAGAUUAGCAAAGCUGAAUAUUGAGCACCAGAGAGGAAACCCAGGAGAUGACACAGCCACCCUGCCCGAGUCUCACACGCGGGCCUCAGCCGCCCCCUUCGCCGGAAACCCACUUCCCUGAGAUUUAUACACAGCUCCUGGUUCUCAUGGAAGCGCCCCCCGGCUCGUGCUGCACCCCCACCGGCUUCCCCCGACCCUGUCUCAAAGGAUGACACUCACACCUCUGUAGUCACUGCAGCCGUCACUGAGCUGAUGCUGAUGACUCACUUUUGCUCUCUCACUUGAAUGCAGGCUCCGUGUGGCAACCGCGUCCUCUGUUUCCUGCUGCCAGACCAGGAUCCAGGGAGUGACCCGCACAGUCCACAGCAGAGUGCACCAGGUUCGAGGGGGAGCAAGGUGACUGCCACGUCUCGAAAUGCUUUCCUUUUCCCGAUGGAAGGUGUUGGAGGGAACUCAACACAACGUCCCCAUAUUUGUAAGAACUACGAGACGAGAGGAUUGCUGUGAGAGAACCAAUACACGAAACGCACCAGCCGCGUCCUUGGCUACCUCUGAGGCCUCUGCUCAGAGCGCUCGGCCCUGAACUGUGCACCGAUUUCUUCAGCCAGGGCGAGGGCUGCAGUGACCGAGAUCAACACCACCGAGUACAGGCCUCACCCCAGAAGGCCGAGCCAGUGCCAUCUCCCGAGGGAGAGCACACAACUGCCGGGUGGCAGGGACUCAGUCUGGACCUGUGCCGUCACGAAUGGGACCUGGCGGCCGAGAGAGAGAGGAGAGAGGCCGCGUGAGCAGAAAACACGGUGCAUUUUGUAAAAGACGCGUUGCCAGCAGCCCCUCCGCCAGAGGCUGCCCCUCGUUUCAAACGCACUGUCCCUCCAUUCCCGCGACUCUCUGAAGCAGCUCCGCAGCCCUCUUCCACGCGUGUCUUCGUCACACGGUCACCGCGGCCUUGGUGUCCUUUCCAGAUUCACAACAUUUACUUCCUGUGGUCAUUUCCGGAUUCACAACGUUUACUUCCUGUGGUCAUUUCAACUUGGAAAGGCCAGAAGUUGCACAGCGCCAGACCCAGUGAAUAAGGCGGAUGCUCACUAAUGUUUUCAUUUCACAGAAA